GUCUGACGCAGCAACACCGCGUGGAGGAAGAAGGCCUUCGGGUUGUAAACUCCUUUUUCUGGGGGGAAAGAGAAAGGACGGUACCCCAGGAAUAAGUCUCGGCUAACUACGUGCCAGCAGCCGCGGUAAAACGUAGGAGGCGAGCGUUAUCCGGAUUUACUGGGCGUAAAGCGCAUGCAGGCGGUUUUCUAAGUCGGACGUGAAAGCUCCCGGCUCAACUGGGAGAGGCCGUUCGAAACUAGAAGACUUGAGGAUGGUAGAGGAGAGUGGAAUUCCCGGUGUAGUGGUGAAAUGCGUAGAUAUCGGGAGGAACACCAGUGGCGAAGGCGGCUCUCUGGGCCAUUCCUGACGCUAAGAUGCGAAAGCUAGGGGAGAGAACGGGAUUAGAAACCCCGGUAUUCCUAGCCGUAAACGAUGUCAACUAGGUGCAGGGGGUAUCCAACCCCUCUGUGCUGUAGCUAACGCGUUAAGUUGACCGCCUGGGGACUACGGCCGCAAGGCUA
rnacentral:rRNA from 1 species